rnacentral:lncRNA from 1 species
GAGAGAGAGAGAGAUAGAUAGAUAUAUAGAUAGAUAGAUAGAUAGAGAAAGAGGGAGAGAUAGAGGGGGAGAGGUAGAGAGAGAGGGAGAGGGAGAGAUGGUGAGGUAGAGAGAGGGAGGAAGGGAGAGGAAGGGAUAGGGAGGGAGGGAGAGGGAGAGGGAGGGAGAGGGAGAGGGAGAGAGAGAGGGAAAGGGAGAGGGGGAGAGAGGGAGAGGGAGAG